rnacentral:rRNA from 1 species
UACGGGGGGGGGCAAGCGUUGUUCGGAAUUACUGGGCGUAAAGGGCUCGUAGGCGGCCAACUAAGUCAGACGUGAAAUCCCUCGGCUUAACCAAGGAACUGCGUCUGAUACUGGAUGGCUUGAGAUUGGGAGAGGGAUGCGGAAUUCCAGGUGUAGCGGUGAAAUGCGUAGAUAUCUGGAGGAACACCUGUGGCGAAAGCGGCUCACUGGACCACAACUGACGCUGAUGCGCGAAAGCUAGGGGAGCAAACAGG